rnacentral:rRNA from 1 species
UCAGGAGGAACACCGGUGGCGAAGGCGGAUCUCUGGGCCGAUACUGACGCUGAGGAGCGAAAGCGUGGGGAGCGAACAGGAUUAGAUACCCUGGUAGUCCACGCCGUAAACGUUGGGAACUAGGUGUGGGCGACAUUCCACGUCGUCCGUGCCGCAGCUAACGCAUUAAGUUCCCCGCCUGGGGAGUACGGCCGCAAGGCUAAAACUCAAAGGAAUUGACGGGGGCCCGCACAAGCGGCGGAGCAUGUGGCUUAAUUCGACGCAACGCGAAGAACCUUACCAAGGCUUGACAUACACCGGAAACUGGCAGAGAUGUCAGCCCCCUUGUGGUCGGUGUACAGGUGGUGCAUGGUUGUCGUCAGCUCGUGUCGUGAGAUGUUGGGUUAAGUCCCGCAACGAGCGCAACCCUUGUUCUGUGUUGCCAGCGAGUAAUGUCGGGGACUCACAGGAGACUGCCGGGGUCAACUCGGAGGAAGGUGGGGACGACGUCAAAUCAUCAUGCCCCUUAUGUCUUGGGCUGCACACGUGCUACAAUGGUCGGUACAAUGGGCUGCGAUACCGCGAGGUGGAGCGAAUCCCAAAAAGCCGGCCUCAGUUCGGAUUGGGGUCUGCAACUCGACC